ACAAGUACCGUGAGGGAAAGUUGCAAAGCACUUUGAAGAGAGAGUUAAAGAGGACGUGAAACCGGUAGGAUGGAAACGGAUAGAGCCAGCGAAGCCGUUCGUAUUCAGCCAAAGGCCCGGCUCUGCUCGGCGGUGUGUUUCUCAUCGAGCACAUCGUUGAUGUUUGAGUCGGGCCUAGGCGCAUUUGCGGAUGAUUGCGCUGAGACGUGCGGACCAGCUGCUGGACCCGAGUCUAGAGGCUUCCCUUUGGGUUGAACCUGGGCACGGUUACGGCUGUUUGGUCUGCUCGUAUUGGUCUGGCCUACGGACCUGGGGUUGGUUGUUGCUGACAGGCAAAGGUACCGCAUGCGAUGCCUAGCUUGAAGGUUGCGGCCAGCUUCAGUGUUCCCUGACCUACUCUCGGUGUAGAAGCUGGUCAUCUCUCCGACCCGUCUUGAAACACGGACCAAGGAGUUUAGCGUAUGCGCGAGUCAUUGGGUGACAAAACCCAUAGGCGCAAUGAAAGUGAAGGCUCGGUCACCGAGCUGACAUGCGAGUGUCUUAGCCUCGGCCUGGGCAUGCAGCAUGGUCCCGUUGCGAUCGCUUGCGAUGCAGCGGAGACAGAGCGUAUGCGCUGAGACCCGAAAGAUGGUGAACUAUUCCUGAGCAGGACGAAGCCAGAGGAAACUCUGGUGGAAGUCCGAAGCGAUUCUGACGUGCAAAUCGAUCGUCUGACUUGGGUAUAGGGGCGAAAGACUAAUCGAACCAUCUAGUAGCUGGUUCCUUCCGA
rnacentral:rRNA from 1 species